UACAGAGGGUGCGAGCGUUAAUCGGAAUUACUGGGCGUAAAGCGCACGUAGGUGGCGACGUAAGUCGGGUGUGAAAGCCCCGGGCUCAACCUGGGAAUUGCAUUCGAGACUGCAUUGCUGGAGUACGGAAGAGGAGGUCUGAAUUCCCGGUGUAGCGGUGAAAUGCGUAGAUAUCGGGAGGAACAUCAGUGGCGAAGGCGGCCCUCUGGUCCAGUACUGACACUCAAGUGCGAAAGCGUUGGGAGCAAACAGG
rnacentral:rRNA from 1 species